GGGGGAGUAGCUCAGUUGGUUAGAGCAGCCGUCUUAUACACGGCCGGUCCCUGGUUCGAGCCCAGGCUCCCCUACCA
rnacentral:tRNA from 1 species